rnacentral:piRNA from 1 species
UAGAUGUACCACUGAGCUCCAACCUUUUAA